GAGCUCAUCGUCUAAAGGAUAAGACGGCAACCUUCUAAGUUGCUUAUGUAGGUUCAAGUCCUUCUGAGCUCA
rnacentral:tRNA from 1 species